UUUUUUUUUUUUCCUUCGCCUCUGACUGCGGCGGGGGAACUCCGCCCUAGUUACUGCACCUGAGUCUUCAGUCUCCUCCUUCCGCAAUGCUGGUCGACGCCCACUCCUCUCUCGGCCAGCGCCAUCUUUCCCCGGGUGCGGCACCCUCGGUCUUUCCCCUGCUUCUGGUCUUUCCCCUGCUUCUUCUCUUCUUUCGUCCUCCCACUGCACCCGAAUCAUGGCCCCCGGUAGCCAGUCUCGGGGAUCAUCCACUAUAAUCGGUCUUUCCUUUUCUUCUGCCUCCUCCACUUUCACCUUGCUUUCUUUUCCUCUACCCGCCACUGGCUUUUUCAUAUCUCGGUCUCCACAAAGGUCUCCUGGUUCUCCCCUUUUCAUCGCCCUCAUUUCUUUCCACGGAUACCGCGGCGGUGGCGGAGAAGAGGGCAUUAUUGGGAGCCGCCCGACGCAGUUCGCAACUGCAUCCGCUCUCAUAGAGAGCACCCAUUCCCGGGCACCCACGCGUACAACCUUAAGUACCGCGUCCAUGAUCCGGAUCCUCUCGACCGCCUGCGGUCCGCCGUCUCAGCUAUCACGUCGGGGUCACCACUUGUCGCCUUCUGAUGCGACAAUCUCCCGUUCGCCUGAGACGGCAUGGAGGCUCCCCCUGCCUCCGGGCCAAUGAGCACUGACACCAAUAUGAGGAUGCUGCAAAUGGCGUUUAUUUUUUUGGGGGAGCUACUCAGCCUGAGAAGGAAGCUUUAUAAAUACGCCUGCUCCAUUUUAAUGAUAAACGUGGGAAAAACUGGAUGGUACUUUUAUGAGUUUGAGCUGCACACACAUGAACGUGCAGAGGAUUUUGAGUAAGUAUCUCUUUCCAAUUGUAGUCUCUCUGUACAUGAUAUAUUAUCUAUGACUGUAUCUUUUUCCCUUAGAAUAAUCAUUCUUGUCUAUCUUAACACAACUGUAUGAAUUUUUUCUUUACUUUCCAAAUCAUGAUUAACUAAAGGAUUUCUCAAUUUCUUCACAAUACCUUUUUUUCUGAGGCUAAUCUUUGAUUAAUAAAGAAAGGGAGCAUAUAAACAUUGUGUGUUUUUCUUGAAUUAAAUCUGAUUGAUUAUUAUUUCUAACAUUACUUGGUAUCCCCUAAGGUAUGCUGAAUUUGAGCAAAUCACUACAUCACUGGAAUUCUGAGUGUUACCCAUUUGUAUACUAAUUAUUCUUAAUCUGAGUCCUUUUAAAAAGGUCAUCAGUUAGACUUUAUUAAAUUGUCAGCAUUCAUAGCAGGGAAGG